UGAGGAAUUUUCCACAAUGGGCGAAAGCCUGAUGGAGCAAUACCGCGUGAGGGAAGAAGGUCCGUGGAUCGUAAACCUCUUUUCUCAGAGAAGAAAUUUUGACGGUAUCUGAGGAAUAAGCACCGGCUAACCCUGUGCCAGCAGCCGCGGUAAUACAGGGGGUGCAAGCGUUGUCCGGAAUGAUUGGGCGUAAAGCGUUCGUAGGUGGUUCUUAAAGUCGACUGUUAAAUCCCAGGGCUCAACUUUGGACAGGCAGUCGAGUACUCAAGGGCUAGAGAAUGGUAGGGGUAGAGGGAAUUCCCAGUGUAGCGGUGAAAUGCACAGAGAUUGGGAAGAACACCAGUGGCGAAAGCGCUCUACUGGGCCAUUACUGACACUGAGGGACGAAAGCUAAGGGAGC
rnacentral:rRNA from 1 species